UUAGAGUUUGAUCCUGGCUCAGAUUGAACGCUGGCGGCAGGCCUAACACAUGCAAGUCGAGCGGUAACAGGAAGUAGCUUGCUCCUUUGCUGACGAGCGGCGGACGGGUGAGUAAUGCCUGGGAAUUUGCCCAUUCGAGGGGGAUAACAGUUGGAAACGACUGCUAAUACCGCAUACGCCCUACGGGGGAAAGGAGGGGACCUUCGGGCCUUCCGCGAAUGGAUAAGCCCAGGUGGGAUUAGCUAGUAGGUGAGGUAAUGGCUCACCUAGGCGACGAUCCCUAGCUGUUCUGAGAGGAUGAUCAGCCACACUGGGACUGAGACACGGCCCAGACUCCUACGGGAGGCAGCAGUGGGGAAUAUUGCACAAUGGGCGAAAGCCUGAUGCAGCCAUGCCGCGUGUGUGAAGAAGGCCUUCGGGUUGUAAAGCACUUUCAGCGAGGAGGAAAGGUUA
rnacentral:rRNA from 1 species